rnacentral:rRNA from 1 species
AGAACGAACGCUGGCGGCAUGCCUAACACAUGCAAGUCGAACGCUCUUGGGGCUUCGGUCUCAGGGGAGUGGCGCACGGGUGAGUAGCGCGUGGGAACCUGCCCUGUUGUGGGGGAUAACCGAGGGAAACUUCGGCUAAUACCGCAUAAGCCGGUUGUCUUGAAGGAGAUGGCCGGGAAAGAUUUAUCGCGACAGGAGGGGCCCGCGUCGGAUUAGCUAGUUGGUGGGGUAACGGCCCACCAAGGCUGUGAUCCGUAGCUGGUCUGAGAGGAUGAUCAGCCACACUGGGACUGAGACACGGCCCAGACUCCUACGGGAGGCAGCAGUGGGGAAUAUUGGACAAUGGGCGCAAGCCUGAUCCAGCAAUGCCGCGUGAGUGAUGAAGGCCUUAGGGUUGUAAAGCUCUUUCGCCCGCGACGAUGAUGACGGUAGCGGGAGAAGAAGCCCCGGCUAACUUCGCGCCAGCAGCCGCGGU